rnacentral:rRNA from 1 species
UGGGGAAUAUUGCACAAUGGGGGAAACCCUGAUGCAGCGACGCCGCGUGAACGAAGAAGGUAUUCGUAUCGUAAAGUUCUGUCCUAUGGGAAGAUAAUGACAGUACCAUAGAAGAAAGCUCCGGCUAAAUACGUGCCAGCAGCCGCGGUAAUACGUAUGGAGCGAGCGUUGUCCGGAAUUAUUGGGCGUAAAGGGUACGCAGGCGGUUUAAUAAGUCGAAUGUUAAAGAUCGGGGCUCAACCCCGCAAAGCAUUGGAAACUGAUAAACUUGAGUAGUGGAGAGGAAAGUGGAAUUCCUAGUGUAGUGGUGAAAUACGUAGAUAUUAGGAGGAAUACCUGUAGCGAAGGCGACUUUCUGGACACAAACUGACGCUGAGGUACGAAAGCGUGGGGAGCAAACAGG